AUGUCUUCUCUUUCCUCCCAGGGGCGAGGACGGAACCCCGUCCCGCCUCUUCCCGGCAGACAGACCCCCCCCCCCCCCGCCACCUCGCCCCAUCCCCACUACCGUUGGUCCAGGUCCAGGACCGCAGUGCGAAAGCCGGGCCGUGUGGAGCGAGCCACCCACUCUCAAUGGGGGAGCCGGGCGAUCUGGGCGACGCCGCCGUCUCCGGAGGCGGCGGUCGAAUCCGGCGGCGGGAUCGGAGGCGCGGCGCCGCCCCUCCCCGGGGAGAAGAGGCGGGGGGGGCGGGGGGGGGUCCGGCCCAGCCCCGGCCCGGCGGGUCGGCGGAAGCGGAAGGGUCUCCCCGAGCCGAGGCCCGACGCCGGUCCCUACCCCGGGCUCCUCCGGUCGUCCCGCUCUCUUCCGCGCCCCGCCGCCGCCGCCUCCUCCACCCCCGAUCUCCCUGCCCCCGGGACCCGGUCCUUCCCCCCGGUCCCGGUGCGCGGGAGUCACCGGAUGGCCAGCGGCGGGGGUCUCCCGUGUUCCGUUUCGCUUCGUCCUCCAAGUCGCCGCCCCCCUCGGGCGACCCCCCGCCGUCCGCGGAGAGAGCAAGCGGCGGAGCGCCGGAGCCGCUCGACGGAGAGGCCGAAGAGGCGGGCGGGGGCCGUACGUCGUCGGGGGCCGUCCGCCCCCCGACCCUCCCUCCGGACCCCCGCCGUCCCGAGGGCCCUCCGGCGCCCGAACCGUCAACGGCCCGAGCUUCGCCGCGAGCGUCGAUCGCCGUCGGCCGCGGGGCGCUGCGCCGGGCGCCCGGGGAGGCACGGCCGAACGGCGUCGGCGGCCGCGUCCCCCGGCCGCGGGGCGCUGGCGGUCCAAAAGGGGCCCGCGGACGCACCCCCGAUAGCCGGAGGGAGGGCCGUCGCCCUCCGGAUCCACCCCGUCCCGCUUCCGUCGCCUCGGCCUCUCCGGGGCCCGAAUCUCCCCGCCCUCGCUUGGAGAAGCCCGGGCCCGGUCCUCGGAGGAGGGUCGGUCGAGACGGCGGGCCGACGGCGUCCGCCGAGCGCUCGCCGCGUGCGCCGAGCGCUCGGGGGAGCGCGGCGCGACCCUGGGACGGACACGCCCCCCCGCCCGCGACGAGCUCCCGGUGGUCUCCGUCGAGAGAGGAUCCUCCGGCCUCGAGACCCCCCGCCUCGGAAGCAGCGUACCUCCUUCCCCUCUCCCCCUCUUCUCGUCCGGCCCUCCACGCGCGGGUCCUCGGGCGCGCCCCGGCCCGGUUCCCUCCCGUGGGCUCCGCUCAGGCCCGGGGAAGCCGUCGGAAGGGCAACGCGGAGGCCGCCCUCCCCUUGGCGUCCCGCGGGCCCUUCCUUCCCCUCCGCGGCCUCCGCGGCCCCGGCGCCCCCUUCCCGCCUCCUAGCCCCCAACCGCGGACGCUCUCCGCCCCACCCGCCCCGCGGCCCCUUCCCGGCCCGGUGCCCUCCCCGGCCCACGGCCCCUUCGUGGCCG
rnacentral:lncRNA from 1 species